rnacentral:lncRNA from 1 species
GUGUACACGGUCUGACUAUCUAACCAUGGUGUACACUGUCUGACUAUCUACCAUGGUGUACACUGUCUGACUAUCUACCAUGGUGUACACUGUCUGACUAUCUACCAUGGUGUACACUGUCUGACUAUCUACCAUGGUGUACACUGUCUGACUAUCUACCAUGGUGUACACUGUCCGACUAUCUAACCAUGGUGUACACUGUCCGACUAUCUAACCAUGGUGUACACUGUCCGACUAUCUACCAUGGUGUACACUGUCCGACUAUCUAACCAUGGUGUACAACCGUGGUGUACACUGUCUGACUAUCUACCAUGGUGUACACU